UGGGGAAUAUUGCACAAUGGGCGAAAGCCUGAUGCAGCAACACCGCGUGAGGGACGACGGCCUUCGGGUUGUAAACCUCUUUUAGCAAGGAAGAAGCGAAAGUGACGGUACUUGCAGAAAAAGCGCCGGCUAACUACGUGCCAGCAGCCGCGGUAAUACGUAGGGCGCAAGCGUUAUCCGGAAUUAUUGGGCGUAAAGAGCUCGUAGGCGGUUUGUCGCGUCUGCUGUGAAAACCCGAGGCUCAACCUCGGGCCUGCAGUGGGUACGGGCAGACUAGAGUGCGGUAGGGGAGAUUGGAACUCCUGGUGUAGCGGUGGAAUGCGCAGAUAUCAGGAAGAACACCGAUGGCGAAGGCAGAUCUCUGGGCCGUAACUGACGCUGAGGAGCGAAAGGGUGGGGAGCAAACAGGCUUAGAUACCCUGGUAGUCCACCCCGUAAACGUUGAGAACUAGUUGUGGGGUCCAUUCCACGGAUUCCGUGACGCAGCUAACGCAUUAAGUUCCCCGCCUGGGGAGUACGGCCGCAAGGCUAAAACUU
rnacentral:rRNA from 1 species